UACGUAGGCAGCGAGCGUUGUUCGGAGUUACUGGGCGUAAAGCGUGCGUAGGCGGUGUCUUAAGUUUGUUGUGAAAUCUCCCGGCUUAACCGGGAGGGUGCGGCGAAUACUGAGAUGCUGGAGUGCGGGAGAGGUAAGCGGAAUUCCUGGUGUAGCGGCGAAAUGCGUAGAUAUCAGGAGGAACACCUGCGGUGUAGACGGCUUACUGGACCGUAACUGACGCUGAGGCACGAAAGCGUGGGUAGCAAACAGG
rnacentral:rRNA from 1 species